UACAGAGGGUGCAAGCGUUUGUUCGGAAUUAUUGGGCGUAAAGCGCGUGUAGGCGGCUUGGUAAGUCGGGUGUGAAAUCCCUCAGCUCAACUGAGGAAGUGCGCCCGAAACUACUUUGCUUGAGUGCCGGAGAGGAUGGCGGAAUUCCCCCAAGUAGAGGUGAAAUUCGUAGAUAUGGGGGAGGAACACCGGUGGCGAAGGCGGCCAUCUGGAC
rnacentral:rRNA from 1 species